GACGAACGCUGGCGGCGUGCCUAAUACAUGCAAGUCGAGCGAGCUUGCCUAGAUGAUUUUAGUGCUUGCACUAAAUGAAACUAGAUACAAGCGAGCGGCGGACGGGUGAGUAACACGUGAGUAAUCUGCCUUCCAGAGGGGAAUAACGUUUGGAAACGAACGCUAAUACCGCAUAACGUGUCGGUCCUCGCAUGGGGACUGUACCAAAGAUUUUAUCGCUGGAAGAUGAGCUCGCGGCCGAUUAGGUAGUUGGUGAGAUAACAGCCCACCAAGCCGACGAUCGGUAGCCGGGACUGAGAGGUUGAUCGGCCACAUUGGGACUGAGACACGGCCCAG
rnacentral:rRNA from 1 species